CAGAGGUCCCGAGCGUUGUUCGGAUUCACUGGGCGUAAAGGGUGCGUAGGUGGUGAGGUAAGUCGGAUGUGAAAUCUCCGGGCUCAACCCGGAAAUGGCAUUGGAAACUACCUUGCUAGAGGAUUUGAGGGGGGAUUGGAAUACUUGGUGUAGCAGUGAAAUGCGUAGAUAUCAAGUGGAACACCAGUGGCGAAGGCGAAUCCCUGGAAAACACCUGACACUGAGGCACGAAAGCUAGGGGAGCAAACAGGAUUAGAUACCCUGGUAGUCCUAGCCCUAAACGGUGCUUGCUUGCUGUAAGAGGAAUCGACCCCUCUUGUGUCGGAGCUAACGCGUUAAGCAAGCCGCCUGGGAAGUACGGUCGCAAGAUUA
rnacentral:rRNA from 1 species